rnacentral:rRNA from 1 species
GACGAACGCUGGCGGCGUGCUUAACACAUGCAAGUCGAACGAAGAGCGACGGAAGCUUGCUUCUAUCAAUCUUAGUGGCGAACGGGUGAGUAACGCGUAAUCAACCUGCCCUUCAGAGGGGGACAACAGUUGGAAACGACUGCUAAUACCGCAUACGAUCUAAUCUCGGCAUCGAGGAUGGAUGAAAGGUGGCCUCUACAUGUAAGCUAUCACUGAAGGAGGGGAUUGCGUCUGAUUAGCUAGUUGGAGGGGUAACGGCCCACCAAGGCGAUGAUCAGUAGCCGGUCUGAGAGGAUGAACGGCCACAUUGGGACUGAGACACGGCCCAGACUCCUACGGGAGGCAGCAGUGGGGAAUCUUCCGCAAUGGACGAAAGUCUGACGGAGCAACGCCGCGUGAGUGAGGACGGCCUUCGGGUUGUAAAGCUCUGUUAAUCGGGACGAAAGGCCUUCUUGCGAAUAGUGAGCAGGAUUGACGGUACCGGAAGAGAAAGCCACGGCUAACUACGUG